ensembl:lncRNA
GGGGGCUCAGGGUGCCUUGCACAGCUCAGGAUGAACGUGGGGACAGAAAUCCAGAGGGAUGGGGCAGAGGGCAGAUGCCACAGGGAACAACCUGCCAUUGGGGUGUUGAAAUCCCAAACGCAGGAGAGCCAAAGGCAGCAGAGCCAGGGUCACCCCCAGUGCCCUGCCUCAGUUUCCUCCAUCGUUUUAGGGUGCACUGUGGCAUUGGGGCAGACCUGCCGGGGGUUCCUGAAGAAAACAGGGAGCAAAAACAUUCUCCUGGAAAUAAAUGAUGAAGGGAGGCAUGAUGGGAAAAUAAAUCUGGCAAUUUGAUCAUUCUCAGAACCUUCCCUGAAGGGUGCAGGGACGCAGGGGUGCAGAGUGAAGGGUGCAGGGGGUUGGGUGAAGGGUGCAGGGGGUAGGGUUAAAGAUGAGGGGUAGGGUGAAGGGUGAAGGGUGCAGGGGGUAGGGGGCAGGACGAGAGUUCCAGGGUGCUGGGUGCAGGGUGCUGGGUGCAGGAUGAGGGUCUCUGGGUGCAGGAUGGCAGUCCCUGGGUGCAGGGUGAAUGCAGGGUGCUGGGUGAAGGGUGCAGGACGAGUGCAGGGUGCAGGAUGGGUGCAGGGUCACUGGGUGCAGGGUGAGGGCAGGAUUAGUGCCGCAUGCUGGGCCCAGGAUGGGUGCAGGGUGCUGGGUGAGUGCAGGGUGCAGGAUGGGUGUCACUGGGUGCGGGAUAAGGGCAGGAUCGGUGCUGGGUGAGUGCUGAGUGCAGGAUGAGGGUUACAGGGUGCAGGAUGGGUGCUGGGUGCAGGAUGGGAGUCACUGGGUGCAGGAUGAGGGUUACAGGGUGCAGGAUGGGUGCUGGGUGCUGGGUGCAGGAUGGGUGCUGAGCAGGAUGGGUGCUGGGUGCAGGAUGGAGUCACUGGGUGCAGGAUGGGUGCUGGGUGCAGGAUGGAGUCACUGGGUGCAGGAUGGGUGCUGGGUGCAGGAUGGAGUCACUGGGUGCAGGAUGGGUGCUGGGUGCAGGAUGGAGUCACUCGGAGCAGGAUCGGUGCCGGUGCGGGGCGCAGGUGUCGCACCGCGGGCUCGCAGCGCCAUCGCGUGGCUGGAACGGACCCGCACGGGAACGGGAUGGGAUGGGAAAGGGAUGGGAUACGGGGAUGGGAUACGGGGAUGGGAUACGGGGAUGGGAUACGGGGAUGGGAUACGGGGAUGGGAUACGGGGAUGGGAUACGGGGAUGGGAUACGGGGAUGGGAUACGGGGAUGGGAUACGGGGAUGGGAUACGGGGAUGGGAUACGGGGAUGGGAUACGGGGAUGGGAUACGGGGAUGGGAUACGGGGAUGGGAUACGGGGAUGGGAUACGGGGAUGGGAUACGGGGAUGGGAUACGGGGAUGGGAUACGGGGAUGGGAUACGGGGAUGGGAUACGGGGAUGGGAUACGGGGAUGGGAUACGGGGAUGGGAUACGGGGAUGGGAUACGGGGAUGGGAUACGGGGAUGGGAUACGGGGAUGGGAUACGGGCUUUUUUUUNNNNNNNNNNNNNNNNNNNNNNNNNNNNNNNNNNNNNNNNNNNNNNNNNNNNNNNNNNNUGGGAUGGGAUGGGAUGGGAUGGGAUGGGAUGGGAUGGGAUGGGAUGGGAUGGGAUGGGAUGGGAUGCGAUGGGAUGGGAUGCGAUGGGAUGCGAUGGGAUGCGAUAGGAGAUAGGAUGGGAUGGGAGAUGGGAUGGGAACGGCAUUAGGCUGCACCGCCAGGAUGUGCUGCUCUGUGCCCCCAGCACCGUGUGGAGCUCACCCCAUCCCCCUGUGCCCGUUCUGCACCCUUUGCUCACCACCACCACCGCGGCUCUCGGGGUGUCACAGGCUGGCAGUGGGGUUCAGGACUCCAAGUUUCCAUGUCCCAACGUGACGCCAGCCCUGCCUGCACCCCCG